AGUCGUUUAAAGAUGGUAGAUGUCUCAUUGGUUAUGGCCUUUCUCCAACUUGAAGAUAAUUUCAGCCUCUCAGUCCAACUAAUCUGAAUUUAUACUAAAUGAACGAGCCAGGAGAGUUAUCCACUACAGGAUACAGCCUGAAGAGCCAUGACGGAGGGGGGGAAGAAGACUCAAGGCAAUGGCAGGAUGCUGACACGGCCCUCCUUUGUCCUAUUCUCUUUCAUUUCCUCCCCAGAUCUUCCGACUGCCCCAGAGGAAGACAAGGAAUGGGCCAACGGGGAUAUGAAGAGGACCUAUGAAGAGGACUCGAAAGACAAUACCAUUCCUGCAUGACAGGUCUUCAAGGAUGAUGGAAAACAGACCAUUAUUAGAGAUCUUGGUCCUUCGCUACUGCUCUGCUGAACAAAUGCCUGGUUGGUUACCAAGCAUUUCCCCACCAGAUAUUUGGGUUUUAAACCAAAAAUUUAAAUCUUAUGAUCUUAUGAUAUUAAGAUGCCACAUACACCUCUACGUUAACUAGGUGUGUGCUUUAUUUUAACACCCUGUAUCUAAGUUUGUCGAUGUUACUUUGAAGUAAAAAAAGAAGCAGUUCCUAAGUUGUUGCCCAGUUGUGUUGACAGAGUUGAGCUAUACAGAUGUCUGACUGACAUUCUGUUGCAAAAGCAUUGAGGCAACACCCACCUGUUUUAGAUUGUUUAUCUGGCACUAUUUUAUUUACUCAUUAAGGACAGGAAUGGUGACAGAAUCACAGGCAAGAUUCAAGUUAGCAUCUGCUUCAGAGCUUGCAAUCUGAACUUCUUUCACUGCUUUUUAGACGCAAAACCCCUUCAGAAUGAGACAGAGAAAAGCAAAGAAAUUAAAAAUGGUUACUUAGUUUUUUCCAAAAAAUUGCUAAUAUUGACAAUCUUAACCGUAUUUCAGAUUUUUGGGUUUCAAAGUAUUGCUAAAAUCUUGUCUUGUCUCCUGAGCUGGUUGUAUAAUUAAAUUCCUAAUAAGCACUGAAGAAACCUGCACCAUUUUUAAAUCAUGUAUGUGCAUGUAACAGAUAAAAAAAUGCCAUUAUGACGGACAACAAAUUUUAAAACCGCCACUAUGAUGGUGCUAAAAUUUGCUUCUUGAUGGUGCUGAAUGGUUAUUUUAGGUUUUUAAUGACUUUGGAUUGGAUUUCAUUGCCUCUAGUCAAAAUCUAAAACACUAUGACUUGAUGUAGGUAAUUCUAGACUGAACAGAGAUUUUUUAAACACAUUUUGAGAAUUAUAAAACCUUUGUUUACAAAAACAACAAAUUAGUG